UGAGAAUAUAAGUUCCACUGUUUUCUGCAAUCUUUGCUCAGUGUUUAGUGUUGCUUGGCCUUUUGAGUCUCAGGAGUCAAAAGUUCAUCUUCACCUGUGGGUUUAGCCUGUCUUCUGUUGUUGUCUGAGUGUCUGUGUCUCGCUCAUCUUUGUUCAAAUCCCUACCCCGGCAUGAAGGACUGAUUCGCCUGUGACCGGUUCAGAUGAGGGUGUAUUGUGGUGGUUUGAUUCCCCAGAUCUGAAGCUGAUCAGGCAUCUAUAGAGGCCCCAUUUUCCACCUUAAAAAAUCAGCUGCUAAUGGUGGCACCACAAAACCCCAGCACACCUUCGGAGGUCUUGAGUCUAUGCAUCAAUGGGUCCAUAGCAUGUGAAGAACCAUUUUAUAUUAAAAAAAAUAAAGUUUAUAGUAUCAAAGUCUAUCCACAGCUUAUAAUUUUUCACGAGCCAAUUGAAUCAAACAUGAAAUGAAAGGAGUAGGUAGGGAAGGAGAGAAGCUUCAUCAUGAACAUCUCAUCACAGCUCAACCCACAAAGGACCCUGUGGAAAUAACCUGCUCUCUCAUAUCUGAUAAAAACACAUGUCAAAGGCAAUGAAGCAGAAGCUUUCUGAUAUUUAUUUGGCUAACACUUUUGCCCUGCAUACAGGUUGUUUAGAAUGAGGUUUGUACCCUCCAGAUUUGGUGUAAAGCAAAAUAAAAUCCUCACAGUGAGAAAAAUUCAUUGAAGAAAAAUAUUAUUUCAAGGACUUUUCUGAACGAAUUUUGUAUAAAUAAAGAUUUUUGGUUGAACACAAACUAUAGAUUGUAUUUAUAAUAAACCCGAAAUGUGACACAGUACCAAGACAUGCUGCUGCUCUGAAAUAAGCCUUCUGAAGAACCAUAAAACACAAUUAGAAAUACAAAAACAGGACAAAAUGUACAAUUCACAAUAAAAUAUACAACUCAAAUAAAUACAGUAUGUAUAUAUUUCUAUAUAUAUAGGAUGGGUUAACUUCAAGUUCAAUAGUUGAACCAAAAAAAUCUUAAAGCUCGUUUUUUACGCAAGACAUUUUUCUCUAAAACAGGAAAGUGCACCGUUUUUUUUUUUUUUCUCGAUACAUUCCUGCUCACUUUGGAGUUAAAAACAAACAAACAAAAAAAAACAACAAUGACUUGACUCAAGGUUACAUGAAUAUAGGCGUUUCACUUGACCGUGAUUCACUUAAACAUGAACCACAGAAAGAGAAGCACAGACUGGAAAAAAAAAAAAAAAAAAAGAAAAAACAUGAGAAAGUUCACUUGUAGUAGGCGAAUACAUGAACUCGAUACGAGAUGAAAUAUCAACAUGCUUUCGUUUUUUUUUUGGUCACUUGUUUUAUAGUUCUAUACUGAAUAACAGAGAAACUGUUAUGAUAUAGAUUUUAUAUAUAUAUAUAUAUAUAUAUAUAUAUAUAUAUAUAUAUAUAUAUAUAUAUAUAUGGUGCUUAGAGUCUCCCUGAGAUACGUCUUGGAUUUUGGUGCGAUUCGGAUUCAAGAUGCCGAUUCUUUAAAAGUGUUGGGCAAUGAACGUUUUUAAAAGAAGGCGUUCACAGCUUUCAACUUAAUCUCUCCUUCCGACAUCUGUAGCGUAGACGUGAUUACUCCCGACUAAAUACAAUGUAUGGGCAAAAGUAUUGGGACACCUGUCAAAUGCCGUUCUUCCCCAAACUGGUACCACACAAUUUUAUAUAGGAUGCGGUACCAUGAAAUUUUCCCUUCACUUGAACGCCGAACCUGUUCCAAAACAAUACACAAUGCCAGCUCUAAGAAGAUGUGCUUCACAUGGGUUGGAGUAGAAGAUCUCCUUCUAUAGAGCUCUGACCUCAACCCUACUGAACACCUUUGGGAUGUAUGUGAACACUGACUGCACCCCAGGCUUCCUCACCUUCUCACCUACAUCA